UAUGGUCCUCGGUAGUGGUUUCCAGAUGUAUGCACCAGAUGUAUAUAGCUGUGAACUUCGAUCGAAGAUUCAUU
ncrna:unclassified sequences Actino-pnp RNA